rnacentral:rRNA from 1 species
GCUUAACCGAAGAAGUGCAUCGGAAACUGGGUGACUUGAGUGCAGAAGAGGACAGUGGAACUCCAUGUGUAGCGGUGGAAUGCGUAGAUAUAUGGAAGAACACCAGUGGCGAAGGCGGCUGUCUGGUCUGCAACUGACGCUGAGGCUCGAAAGCAUGGGUAGCGAACAGGAUUAGAUACCCUGGUAGUCCAUGCCGUAAACGAUGAGUGCUAGGUGUUGGAGGGUUUCCGCCCUUCAGUGCCGGAGCUAACGCAUUAAGCACUCCGCCUGGGGAGUACGACCGCAAGGUUGAAACUCAAAGGAAUUGACGGGGGCCCGCACAAGCGGUGGAGCAUGUGGUUUAAUUCGAAGCUACGCGAAGAACCUUACCAGGUCUUGACAUCUUGCGCUAACCUAAGAGAUUAGGUGUUCCCUUCGGGGACGCAAUGACAGGUGGUGCAUGGUCGUCGUCAGCUCGUGUCGUGAGAUGUUGGGUUAAGUCCCGCAACGAGCGCAACCCUUGUUACUAGUUGCCAGCAUUCAGUUGGGCACUCUAGUGAGACUGCCGGUGACAAACCGGAGGAAGGUGGGGACGACGUCAGAUCAUCAUGCCCCUUAUGACCUGGGCUACACACGUGCUACAAUGGUCGGUACAACG